rnacentral:rRNA from 1 species
AGCGAACGCUGGCGGCAGGCUUAACACAUGCAAGUCGAGCGGGCCUUUCGGGGUCAGCGGCGGACGGGUGAGUAACGCGUGGGAACGUGCCCUCUGGUUCGGAAUAACUCAGGGAAACUUGAGCUAAUACCGGAUACGCCCUUUUGGGGAAAGGCUUGCUGCCGGAGGAUCGGCCCGCGUCUGAUUAGCUAGUUGGUGAGGUAACGGCUCACCAAGGCGACGAUCAGUAGCUGGUCUGAGAGGAUGAUCAGCCACACUGGGACUGAGACACGGCCCAGACUCCUACGGGAGGCAGCGGUGGGGAAUAUUGGAGAAUGGGCGCAAGCCUGAUCCAGCCAUGCCGCGUGAGUGAUGAAGGCGUUAGGGUUGUAAAGCUCUUUUAUCCGGGACGAUAAUGACGGUACCGGAGGAAUAAGCCCCGGCUAACUUCGUG